GACUGUGGUAGUGCAGUGGUUAAGUCUUUGAAAUCCUGAUCCAAAGGUCAUGAGUUCAAAUCCCAACUAUGCCA